rnacentral:rRNA from 1 species
GACGAACGCUGGCGGCGUGCUUAACACAUGCAAGUCGAACGGAAAGGCCCUGCUUUUGUGGGGUGCUCGAGUGGCGAACGGGUGAGUAACACGUGAGUAACCUGCCCUUGACUUUGGGAUAACUUCAGUAAACUGGGGCUAAUACCGGAUAGGAGCUCCUGCUGCAUGGUGGGGGUUGGAAAGUUUGGGCGGUUGGGGAUGGACUCGCGGCUUAUCAGCUUGUUGGUGGGGUAGUGGCUUACCAAGGCUUUGACGCGUAGCCGGCCUGAGAGGGUGACCGGCCACAUUGGGACGGAGAUACGGCCGAGAAGACUACGGGAGGCAGCAGUGGGGAAUAAUGCACAAUGGGCGGAAGACUGAUGCAGCAACGCCGCGGGCGGGAUGACGGCCUUCGGGGUGUAAACCGCUUUCGCCUGUGAAGAAGCGGGAGUGACGGUAAUGGGUAAAGAAGCACCGGCUAACUACGUG